AUUUGUGGUGAUACCGGUUUGUCAGAUCUCAGAAGUUAAGAAAGACUGGGCCUGAUUAGUACUUGGAUGGGAUACGGCUGUGAAUAUCAGGCGCCACAAUGU
rnacentral:rRNA from 1 species